rnacentral:rRNA from 1 species
UACGUAGGUGGCAAGCGUUGUCCGGAUUUACUGGGCGUAAAGAGCGCGCAGGCGGUCGUUCAAGUCGCGUGUGAAAGCCCCCGGCUCAACUGGGGAGGGUCACGCGAUACUGAUCGACUCGAAGGCAGGAGAGGGUAGUGGAAUUCCCGGUGUAGUGGUGAAAUGCGUAGAUAUCGGGAGGAACACCAGUGGCGAAGGCGGCUCACUGGACCGGAACUGACGCUGAGGCGCGAAAGCGUGGGGAGCAAACAGG